CCAGACUCCUACGGGAGGCAGCAGUAGGGAAUUUUCGGCAAUGGGGGGAACCCUGACCGAGCAACGCCGCGUGAACGAAGAAGUUAUUCGUAAUGUAAAGUUCUUUUAUCAGGGAAGAAAGAGGAAUUUGACGGUACCUGAGGAAUAAGCUCCGGCUAACUACGUGCCAGCAGCCGCGGUAAUACGUAGGGAGCGAGCGUUAUCCGGAAUUAUUGGGCGUAAAGGGUGCGUAGAUGGCAUAGUAAGUCUUUUGUAAAAAUGCUGGGCUCAACCCAGUAGGGCAAAAGAUACUGCAAAGCUAGAGUAUGACAGAGGCAAGUGGAACUACAUGUGUAGCGGUAAAAUGCGUAAAUAUAUGUAAGAACACCAGUGGCGAAGGCGGCUUGCUGGGUCGAUACUGACAUUGAGGCACGAAAGCGUGGGGAGCAAACAGGAUUAGAUACCCUAGUA
rnacentral:rRNA from 1 species